UCCUGUCCGCCCCUGCUCAAAAUGAUGAUCUAUGGCUGUGGUGGAGGCUACACAUCAGCUUGCUCCAUCGCGGUGGUGACUGGUUUUCACUGACACAGACAGAAUUCGCCACGAGCUACAAGAGAGGACAUCUCAUUCUUUUAUCCACGGCGAGUCAUUGUGGUGGUGUCAGCUGGUGCCGUCUCUUUUAUCACACACUGGAAGCUAAUGGAAGCAAGGAGGAGGUCCCCUUGAGGCCCAUAUACAUAUAGAUCAUGUAUCCUGGGAUGAGGACCAUGGAGGACAACGCCAUGAGCCAGCCCACGCCCUGACCCCAGCCCGGAAACACGUAGUCUCCCAUCGUGAGAGGAACCAUUUGAACGGCACUGAACAAG